rnacentral:rRNA from 1 species
AUGCCUGCGCGCUUCACGACCGUUGCACCCGAAGCAAAGAAGCGAAGGGAAAGAGAAGGAAGAAUAGUCUGUGCAUCGGCCAUGGAGAGCUCCUCCUCGUCUCUCUUGCUGAGUUCGUAUGCCGGCAACAACAAGAGGGCCAGGGAUGCCGACCUCGAAGUGGGCUCGUCCGCGGAGGCGGAGGCCGCCAAGAGGAUGCGACCGGAGGACCUGCUGGACCUGCUCGCCGACGACACCGACGCCGCGGCGGCCGGCGACCUGGCCUCCGUCAUGCGGAGCCUUGAGGAGGAGAUAUGCGCCGACGAGCUGAUGCCGCCGCAGCCGGAGCUGGGGUUCCUGCUCGAGGCCUCCGACGACGAGCUCGGCCUGCCGCCGGCCGCCGGGGCGUCCUCCUCGUCGGACGACGCCGGGGGCUGGGAGCCGGAGGAGGCCGCAGGCCUGUUCGGGGAGCAGAUAUGGGGCUUCGAGGACGAGAUUGACGGCGCAUACGCCUUCGGCGGCGUCGCCUACUCGCCGGAGGCCGCCGUGGCGGCUGCUGCGGCCGCGGCCGAGUGGGGCGACGACGGCUUUGACGCCGGCCUGUUCGGCUUCGGCGACGAGUCAUUCGGGCCGUCCGAUCUCGACGUGCUUCGCCAGGAGACCAUGCCCGCCGUUUGA